rnacentral:rRNA from 1 species
GGUGGUGGUGCAUGGCCGUUCUUAGUUGGUGGAGUGAUUUGUCUGGUUAAUUCCGUUAACGAACGAGACCCCCGCCUGCUAAAUAGUAUGUUGAAUACUUAGUAUUGAAUUGUGCUUCUUAGAGGGACUUUUGGUGACUAACCAAAGGAAGUUGGGGGCAAUAACAGGUCUGUGAUGCCCUUAGAUGUCCUGGGCCGCACGCGCGCUACACUGACACACGCAACGAGUUUUACUUGUCCGAAAGGUCUGGUUAAUCUUUUAAAUGUGUGUCGUGAUAGGGAUAGAUUAUUGCAAUUAUUAAUCUUGAACGAGGAAUUCCUAGUAAACGCAAGUCAUCAGCUUGCAUUGAUUACGUCCCUGCCCUUUGUACACACCGCCCGUCGCACCUACCGAUUGAAUGACUCGGUGAAAUCCCCGGACUUUGGCUUAGAGACCCUCGGGUCACUUAGCUGUUGGAAGCGGAUAAACCUCGUAUUAGAGAAGGAGCGACUGAUUUUAAA